rnacentral:tRNA from 1 species
GGCGCCAUGGCUUAGUUGGUCAAAGCGCCUGUCUAGUAAACAGGAGAUCAUGAGUUUAAAUCUCACCGGUGCCU